AGUGAACGCUGGCGGUAGGCCUAACACAUGCAAGUCGAACGGCAGCACAGUAAGAGCUUGCUCUUACGGGUGGCGAGUGGCGGACGGGUGAGGAAUACAUCGGAAUCUACUUUUUCGUGGGGGAUAACGUAGGGAAACUUACGCUAAUACCGCAUACGACCUACGGGUGAAAGCAGGGGAUCUUCUGACCUUGCGCGAUUGAAUGAGCCGAUGUCGGAUUAGCUAGUUGGCGGGGUAAAGGCCCACCAAGGCGACGAUCCGUAGCUGGUCUGAGAGGAUGAUCAGCCACACUGGAACUGAGACACAGUCCAGACUCCUACGGGAGGAAGCAGUGGGGAAUAUUGGACAAUGGGCGCAAGGCUGAUCCAGCCAUACCGCGUGGGUGAAGAAGGCCUUCGGGUUGUAAAGCCCUUUUGUUGGGAAAGAAAAGCAGCAGGUUAAUACCCCGCUGUUCUGACGGUACCCAAAGAAUAAGCACCGGCUAACUUCGUG
rnacentral:rRNA from 1 species